rnacentral:rRNA from 1 species
GAUGAACGCUAGCGGCAGGCUUAACACAUGCAAGUCGAGGGGUAUAGGUUUUCGGACCUAGAGACCGGCGCACGGGUGCGUAACGCGUAUGCAAUCUACCUUUCACAGAGGGAUAGCCCAGAGAAAUUUGGAUUAAUACCUCAUAGUAUAGCAGUUUCGCAUGAAACCACUAUUAAAGUAUCAACGGUGAAAGAUGAGCAUGCGUCCCAUUAGCUAGAUGGUAAGGUAACGGCUUACCAUGGCUACGAUGGGUAGGGGACCUGAGAGGGAGAUCCCCCACACUGGUACUGAGACACGGACCAGACUCCUACGGGAGGCAGCAGUGAGGAAUAUUGGUCAAUGGACGCAAGUCUGAACCAGCCAUGCCGCGUGCAGGAUGACGGUCCUAUGGAUUGUAAACUGCUUUUGUACGAGAAGAAACAACAUUACGUGUAAUGUCUUGACGGUAUCGUAAGAAUAAGGAUCGGCUAACUACGUGCCAGCAGCCGCGGUAACAC